GUGGGGAAUAUUGCACAAUGGGGGAAACCCUGAUGCAGCGACGCCGCGUGAGUGAAGAAGUAUUUCGGUACGUAAAGCUCUAUCAGCAAGGAAGAAAAUGACGGUACUUGACUAAGAAGCCCCGGCUAACUACGUGCCAGCAGCCGCGGUAAUACGUAGGGGGCAAGCGUUAUCCGGAUUUACUAGGUGUAAAGGGAGCGUAGACGGUAUGGUAAGUCAGAUGUGAAAGCCCGGGGCUCAACCCCGGGACUGCAUUUGAAACUAUCAGACUAGAGUGCAGGAGAGGUAAGUGGAAUUCCUAGUGUAGCGGUGAAAUGCGUAGAUAUUAGGAGGAACACCAGUGGCGAAGGCGGCUUACUGGACUGUAACUGACGUUGAGGCUCGAAAGCGUGGGGAGCAAACAGGAUUAGAAACCCUAGUAGUCC
rnacentral:rRNA from 1 species